UACGGAGGGUGCAAGCGUUAUCCGGAAUCACUGGGUUUAAAGGGUGCGUAGGCGGCUAAAUAAGUCAGAGGUGAAAGCUUGCAGCUUAACUGCGAAAUUGCCUUUGAUACUGUAUAGCUUGAAAGGAGCUGAGGGCAGCAGAAUGUGUCAUGUAGCGGUGAAAUGCAUAGAUAUGCCAUAGAAUACCAAUUGCGAAGGCAGCUGGCUGGGCUUACUUUGACGCUGAGGCACGAAAGCGUGGUGUUCGACCAGG
rnacentral:rRNA from 1 species